rnacentral:rRNA from 1 species
AUUGAACGCUGGCGGCAGGCCUAACACAUGCAAGUCGAACGGUAACAGGAAGCAGCUUGCUGCUUCGCUGACGAGUGGCGGACGGGUGAGUAAUGUCUAGGAAACUGCCUGAUGGAGGGGGAUAACUACUGGAAACGGUAGCUAAUACCGCAUAACGUCGCAAGACCAAAGAGGGGGACCUUAGGGCCUCUUGCCAUCGGAUGUGCCCAGAUGGGAUUAGCUAGUAGGUGGGGUAACGGCUCACCUAGGCGACGAUCCCUAGCUGGUCUGAGAGGAUGACCAGCCACACGGGAACUGAGACACGGUCCAGACUCCUGCGGGAGGCAGCAGUGGGGAAUAUUGCACAAUGGGCGCAAGCCUGAUGCAGCCAUGCCGCGUGUAUGAAGAAGGCCUUCGGGUUGUAAAGUACUUUCAGCGGGGAGGAAGGGAGUAAAGUUAAUACCUUUGCUCAUUGACGUUACCCGCAGAAGAAGCACCGGCUAACUCUGUG